GUAAUCCUGAGGCCUCAGAACACAGGUUUCAGAUUGAUAGGCCUGCAGGUCUCCAGGCAGCAACCAGCUGAGCGACUAAAGGGCCCAAGGCCAGGGCUCUAGGGAUGGGGCUCAGCAGAGGCUGGGGUAAGGGGAGCCAGGGAGGAGCUGGGCCUAAUGCAGCACCGGGUCCCCAGGAUGCCGUGUCUCGGCUGGAGGAGGAGAUGCGGAAGCUCCAGGCCACGGUGCAGGAGCUCCAGAAGCGCUUGGACAGGCUGGAGGAGACAGUCCAGGCCAAGUAGAGCCCCGCAGGGCCUCCAGCAGGGUCAGCCAUUCACACCCAUCCACUCACCUCCCAUUCCCAGCCACAUGGCAGAGAAAAAAAUCAUAAUAAAAUGGCUUUAUUUUCUGGUACCUCCCAGACUCUGAUGACUGGUCCCCUAGACACGCAGUUUGCUGAACCAACCAGCCCUAGAGCUUCCCCUCCACCGCGCUGAGGGGACUGACCCAUGGCAGGGGAUGUGGGAUGCCCCCUGACUUACUACAUCACAGGAACAGGGCCUUCGUGGGUAGAAACCAGCCAUGCUGAUGU